rnacentral:tRNA from 1 species
GGCAGCGUAGCUCAGUGGCAGAGCAGUCGGCUCAUAAUCGACGGGUCGGAGGUUCGAAUCCUCUCGCUGCCA